rnacentral:rRNA from 1 species
AGUGAACGCUGGCGGUAGGCCUAACACAUGCAAGUCGAACGGCAGCACAGGAGAGCUUGCUCUCUGGGUGGCGAGUGGCGGACGGGUGAGGAAUACAUCGGAAUCUACUCUGUCGUGGGGGAUAACGUAGGGAAACUUACGCUAAUACCGCAUACGACCUACGGGUGAAAGCAGGGGACCUUCGGGCCUUGCGCGAUUGAAUGAGCCGAUGUCGGAUUAGCUAGUUGGCGGGGUAAAGGCCCACCAAGGCGACGAUCCGUAGCGGGUCUGAGAGGAUGAUCAGCCACACGGGAACAGAGACACGGUCCAGACUCCUACGGGAGGCAGCAGUGGGGAAUAUUGGACAAUGGGCGCAAGCCUGAUCCAGCCAUACCGCGUGGGUGAAGAAGGCCUUCGGGUUGUAAGGCCCUUUUGUUGGGAAAGAAAUCCAGCUGGCUAAUACCCGGUUGGGAUGACGGUACCCAAAGAAUAAGCACCGGCUAACUUCGUGCCAGCAGCCGCGGUAA